GACGAACGCUGGCGGCGUGCUUAACACAUGCAAGUCGAACGGUAAGGCCCUUCGGGGUACACGAGUGGCGAACGGGUGAGUAACACGUGGGUGAUCUGCCCUGCACUUCGGGAUAAGCCUGGGAAACUGGGUCUAAUACCGGAUAGGACCACUGCCUGCAUGGGUGGUGGUGGAAAGCUUUUGCGGUGUGGGAUGGGCCCGCGGCCUAUCAGCUUGUUGGUGGGGUGAUGGCCUACCAAGGCGACGACGGGUAGCCGGCCUGAGAGGGUGACCGGCCACACAGGGACUGAGAUACGGCCCAGACUCCUACGGGAGGCAGCAGUGGGGAAUAUUGCACAAUGGGCGCAAGCCUGAUGCAGCGACGCCGCGUGAGGGAUGACGGCCUUCGGGUUGUAAACCUCUUUCAGCACCGACGAAGCGCAAGUGACGGUAGGUGCAGAAGAAGGACCGGCCAACUACGUGACAGCAGCCGCAGUAA
rnacentral:rRNA from 1 species